GAUGAACGCUAGCUACAGGCUUAACACAUGCAAGUCGAGGGGAAACGACAUCGAAAGCUUGCUUUUGAUGGGCGUCGACCGGCGCACGGGUGAGUAACGCGUAUCCAACCUGCCCACCACUUGGGGAUAACCUUGCGAAAGUAAGACUAAUACCCAAUGAUAUCCCACGAAGACAUCUGAAUGGGAUUAAAGAUUUAUCGGUGAUGGGUGGGGAUGCGUCUGAUUAGCUUGUUGGCGGGGUAACGGCCCACCAAGGCAACGAUCAGUAGGGGUUCUGAGAGGAAGGUCCCCCACAUUGGAACUGAGACACGGUCCAAACUCCUACGGGAGGCAGCAGUGAGGAAUAUUGGUCAAUGGGCGAGAGCCUGAACCAGCCAAGUAGCGUGCAGGAAGACGGCCCUAUGGGUUGUAAACUGCUUUUAUAAGGGAAUAAAGUGGGUCACGUGUGACUUUUUGCAUGUACCUUAUGAAUAAGGACCGGCUAAUUCCGUG
rnacentral:rRNA from 1 species